rnacentral:rRNA from 1 species
AAACCAGCACCUCAAGUGGUCAGGAUGAUUAUUGGGCCUAAAGCAUCCGUAGCCUGUUCUGUAAGUUUCCGGUUAAAUCCAUUAGCUCAACUAAUGGGCCGCCGAAAAUACUGCAAAACUAGGGAGUGGGAGAGGUAGACGGUACUCGGUAGGAAGGGGUAAAAUCCUUUGAUCUAUUGAGGACCACCUGUGGCGAAGGCGGUCUACCAGAACACGUCCGACGGUGAGGGAUGAAAGCUGGGGGAGCAAACCGGAUUAGAAACCCCAGUAGUCC